UACGGAAGGGGCUAGCGUUGUUCGGAAUUACUGGGCGUAAAGCGCACGUAGGCGGCUUUGUAAGUUAGAGGUGAAAGCCCAGGGCUUAACCCUGGAAUUGCCUUUAAGACUGCAUCGCUAGAAUCGUGGAGAGGUGAGUGGAAUUCCGAGUGUAGAGGUGAAAUUCGUAGAUAUUCGGAAGAACACCAGUGGCGAAGGCGACUCACUGGACACGUAUUGACGCUGAGGUGCGAAAAGCGUGGGGAGCAAACAGG
rnacentral:rRNA from 1 species